rnacentral:tRNA from 1 species
GCCGUCGCUGAUCGGGCGGACGUGGCCGGUGAGGGCGGCCAGGUGGCGGCGCAGUUCGUAGCCGUGCAGCGGCC